AAAUAGCUUUAGGGCUAGCCUUGAGGUAAAGUCUAAUGGAGGUAAAGCACUGAUUGGACGCGGGUCCCCAAAAGGAUACCAACUUCUAUCAAACUCAGAAUGCCAUAUAGAUAUACUCAGGAGUCAGACUAUGUGAGAUAAGUUUCAUAGUCAAAAGGGAAAGAGCCCAGACCGACAGCUAAGGUCCCAAAGUGUGUGUUAAGUGGAAAAGGAUGUUAGGUUUCUAAGACAACUAGGAUGUUGGCUCAGAAGCAGCCACUCAUUUAAAGAGUGCGUAACAGCUCACUAGUCGAGAGGUCUAGCGCCGAAAAUGUCCGGGGCUAAAACACACCACCGAAGCUACGGAAUUACCUAUGGUAAUUGGUAGAGGAGCAUUCUGUAAGGAUGAAGCACAAUUGAAAGAGAGUGUGGACGAAACAGAAGAGAGAAUGCCGGAAUGAGUAGCGAGAUAUAUGUGAGAAUCAUAUAGGUCGAAUGUCUAAGGUUUCCUGGGUAAAGCUGAUCUGCUCAGGGUAAGUCGGGACCUAAGGUGAGGGCGAGAGCCGUAAUCGAUGGACAACAGGUAGAAAUUCCUGUACUACGUAUAAUCAGAACUGUGGGGACGCAGGAGGAUAGGAAAACCGGAGAAUGGAAAAAUCCGGCUAAGUACAAAGGUGUGAGUGAUAGGCAAAUCCGUCACUAUUAGCUGAAGUACGAAUGGGAGCGAAGAAAAGUAGCGAAGUUUCUGAAUCCACACUGUCAAGAAAAGCCGCUAUUGCGUUAUACGUACCCGUACCGCAAACCGACACAGGUAGACGAGGAGAAAAUCCACAGACCGACGGGAGAAGUGUUGUUAAGGAACUCGGCAAAAUGACCCCGUAACUUAGGGAUAAGGGGAGCCAACGCAAGUUGGUCACAGAAAAGAGGCUCAAGCGACUGUUUAGCAAAAACACAGGUCUAUGCGAAACCGUAAGGUGAUGUAUAUGGGCUGACGCCUGCCCGGUGCUGGAAGGUUAAGAGGAGAGGUUAGCGUAAGCGAAGCUUUGAAUUUAAGCCCCAGUAAACGGCGGCCGUAACUAUAACGGUCCUAAGGUAGCGAAAUUCCUUGUCAGGUAAGUUCUGACCCGCACGAAAGGUGUAACGAUUUGAGCACUGUCUCGACAACACGCCCGGUGAAAUUGAAGAACCAGUGAAGAUACUGGUUACCCGCAACAGGACGGAAAGACCCCAUGGAGCUUUACUGCAGCUUAAUAUUGGGAUUCGGUAUUGUAUGUACAGGAUAGGAGGGAGACUAAGAAGCUAGCACGCCAGUGUUGGUGGAGUCGAUGGUGGGAUACCUCUCUUAUAAUACUGAAUUUCUAACCUACUUCCGUGAUCCGGAAGAGGGACAUUGUUAGGCGGGCAGUUUGACUGGGGCGGUCGCCUCCGAAAGAGUAACGGAGGCGCUCAAAGGUCUUCUCAGAAUGAUUGGAAACCAUUCAAAGAGUGUAAAGGCAAAAGAAGGCUUGACUGCGAGAGUGACAACUCGAGCAGGUACGAAAGUAGGACUUAGUGAUCCGGUGGUAACAAGUGGGAGUGCCAUCGCUUAACGGAUAAAAGCUACCCUGGGGAUAACAGGCUUAUCUCCCCCAAGAGUUCACAUCGACGGGGAGGUUUGGCACCUCGAUGUCGGCUCAUCGCAUCCUGGAGCUGUAGUCCGUUCCAAGGGUUGGGCUGUUCGCCCAUUAAAGCGGUACGCGAGCUGGGUUCAGAACGUCGUGAGACAGUUCGGUCCCUAUCCGUUGUGGGCGUAGGAAAUUUGAUAGGAGCUGUCCUUAGUACGAGAGGACCGGGAUGGACGAACCUCUGGUGAAUCUGUUGGUAACCAAUGCCACAGCAGAAUAGCCAAGUUUGGAACGGAUAAACGCUGAAGGCAUCUAAGCGUGAAGCCAACCUAAAGACUAGAUUUCCCAUGCGAAAGCAGUAAGACUCCUUGUAGACGACAAGGUUGAUAGGCCAGAGAUGUAAGCACAGUAAUGUGUUCAGUUGACUGGUACUAAUAAGUCGAGGGCUUGACCAA
rnacentral:rRNA from 1 species